rnacentral:lncRNA from 1 species
GUUCCCUGACCCCUUUGUGGGUGGGAACUGGAGUGCAUGGGUGCUGGAACAAGCCAACUGUGUUGGCGCCAGCAGGGGCAAAUUCCACUCCCUUGAACCCGCUGCGCUCCACCCCUCGUGGGAGGGGGAGCACAGGUGAGCAGGUACAGGAGGAGCUGGGGAAGCACUCUUGGGCACAUGCAGGAGUGAAUUCCGUACCGGCCCCACAGCAGCAUCAGCGGGGCGGGGGUGCCCACGACCCCCGAAGCCCCAGAGGAACUGUCACAGUACUCUUUUAGCUCUGCCCUCUGUGGAUGGCUUAAGUGUUAACAGCUCAGUGGACCCUAUGUCUUUUAGCAUAAGGCGGCUACCUUCUGCCAGCGAGGGCAAAGGGUCAGUGUGGCAGCCUUUUGCCUCCACACUCACUGCACCUGAGCUGUUGUCAAGCAUCCAGGAGAAAUGAAGUAGCACAAACGAAUUGGAGGAUGGUAAAUGUGGGGGAUUUUAUUGCUGUUGGACGUGGCUCUCAGAGGGAAGAGGAGCUGAAAAGCAGACAGAGAAGGAAGGUAAUCUUCCCUCAAAGUCCAGCUGUCUCCUGGGAUUCUUCUUGAAAUUUACACCGUCGAGCUGUCCCUCUGAAAGACACGGACACUUCGGAAAGCGUUCUGCGGACAGUUAUCAAGAUGAUGAAUUGCAGUGAACACCAAGACACAAAAGGCUUAAUUUGCUCUUCUUUGUCAAGAUUUCUAAUGCUGAGCUGAGCUAGUUGAUUUGUAUUCCUUUCCUUCUAAUGCAUAUAUUUAUGUAAGUUACACAGUACUACAUAAGUACAAAACAUACAUGUCCAGGUGUCCGUGCCUUUUUUAUUGCAUCCUAAGUGCAGAAUAAACACUUGGUUUAUAUUGAAUCUGCUACCUAUGAAAAUAAAAAACGUACUUUCUAAACCAGUGAUUUUGGCUAUACUAAAGUAUAGCUAAUCAUGGCUCCCCCAAAUAUCCACAUCUUAAUAUGUUACCUUAUAUGGCAAAAGAAAUUUUGCAUAUGAGAUUAAGUUGAUGAUCUUGAGUUUGGGUGAUAAUUUUGGGUUACCAGGUGGGUAUGAUGCAAUCAUAUGAUGCAAUCACAGGAGUACUUAAAGUAAAGAAGCAGGCGAUCAGAGAAGGGCUGGAGAGGAAGAGGCAAUAUGAUGAUGGAAGCAGAGAUUGGAGUUUUGUGCUUUGAAGAUAGAGAAAGUGUCCUUAGCCAAAGGAUACAGGCAGCCACUACCAGCUGGAAAGCCAAGGAGAUGGAGUCUGCCCUAGAGUCUCCUGAAGAAACCAGCCCUGCUGACACCUCGGCUUUGACACAGUGGAACAGAUUUCACACUUCUGGCCUCCAGAACAGAAACAGAAUAAAUUUAUGCUGUUUUAAGAACUAUGUUUGCGGUAAUUUGUUACAACUGCAACAGGAAACAAACACAUAAGUAAAAAACACAUUGUGAUUAAGGAGCUCUGUGAGAUUUCCUGAGUCCCAGAGAAAUGUUCCUGUAACAAAACUCUCAGAGUUCAGUGAUUGGGAGCUUGAGUUCACAGACUUAGGAAACAAAUAUCUUCUUUUAGAGAAAUUUUUCAAACAGAACCCGAAGUGAACUCUAGUAUAAUCUUCUAAUGAAUGUUACAGCGUGUUGUUUGUGCUAUUAAAUUCACAUGCAUAUUCUCUCUCUUACCUCUCGCAUCUUUUCUUCCAAUUCUCUCUCUGUCUCUCUCUCUCUUUCUCUUUCUCUCUCUCUCUCUCCCUCUCUCUCUGUCUCUCUCUCUCUCACACACAGAAUCAUAAACUACUUUUCUUCUGAAUCCUCUCUGUAAACGGGCUAAGCAUUUGACUUAAGCACUGUGAUGCCUUCUUUAGAGAGAUUAAGUAGGAUGAUGCAAAUGCUUUGUCAGAUGCUCCCACCAACUGAUUUAUCUUGGGAAAGAUAAAAAUUUAACCUGAACAGAAAUAGAAAUAUUGUCAAUGAGGGUGAAGGUCAAAUAUUUAUGUCUACUUGAAAAAAAUCAAUGUCAGAAGUAACAGUAGUUCUUUUCUUGUACUCUAGCCUGCGUUUCCUUAAAUAUUGUGGCCCCUAGAUAUAUUGAUAGUUGAGAAAAUGCUCUUUUCUUGCUCUGCUUCCCUCAGGAAAAGUUUUUUAAACCCACUUUCUUAGCAGCUAAUCGAUCAUAUCUUGUGUGAAUAAUCAAAAGCCUUGGAAGUUAUGUGUACAUGUCAUGGCUUUCAUGAAGCAAUAGCAGAUGUGUGAGAUGUCUGCAAAACCUGCAGAUGGCAGUUGCGUGAUCUACCUUCAUUGGCAUCAUUCAUAAUAUAAACACGAUUAUAAAGUACUCUGUUUACAUUAUUCUUGAAUACAAUAUUCCCAACAAAAAUAUCUGCAAAAGUCAACACAUUAAACCCAAUGCAGUGCAUUUUUAUUACAAGAAGGCAUUCUUUAAGGAUGACUAAUGUCUCCGAGGAAUAAAAUGGAGAUUAGGCAAGAGUGUGAUUAAAAUGAAGACCCGAGAAAGGUUACAUUCUCUAUGCAUUCAUUCUCCGCAGGGUGCACAACUGCCUAAGAGUAAAACAAAUAAUUUCUCCAGCAGAAAGACUUCCAUUUGAAAUGAAAUGCUUAAAAUAACAAAUUGUGUUUGUUUUUACCAUCACAUUUCCUUGACAUAUAGAAAAGUCAUAUUUCCUCAUCAUAUUUCUUUUGGUAAUAAGCUUCUUUUGACAAAGAUUGUACUUUGACACUAUGAGAGAUGUUUGAAUAGACAUAAUAAACACAGAAACAUACUAAAACUAAAAUCUAUUGAAAAAAUUUUAAAAGGAUUGAAAAAUGAAUGUGUUUUGACAUAAGAAUUGAUUCUGCAAAUUAAGUAGAUCUUUAAAUAUUAGAUUUAUUAAUACUAUUAUUGCUUUUUUGUUGUUGAACAUUGUAGAUUGUUAUAAUGAUUCUCAAAUGUAUUGGGAUUGCUAUUUUACAAUUCUUAUUGUUAGUACUGAACCACAUGCUGUAUCUUUCAUUUGUCAAAUUUUAAAAGUUUCUUAAUCAUCUAAACAUCUUUUUCCUCACCAAAACCUAUAUUUCCUCCUAUAUGCACUGUCAGCAUUAUUAUUUCAUUUAUGUGAAUAGAAAUGCUAUAAUUAAAAGUAUAUGUUUAGUUUAGUUUCAUUGUUUUUCUGUUUCUUAGCAAAGACUUGGAACCAACCGAAACAUCCAUCAAUGAUAGACUGAAUAAAGAAAAUGUGGCACAUAUACACCACGGAAUACUUUGCAGCCAAAAAAAAGGACGAGUUUAUGUCCUUUGCAGGGACAUUAAUGAAGUUGGAAACCAUCAUUCUCAUCAAACUAACAGAAGAACAGAAAACUAAACACCGCAUGUUCUCAUUCAUAAGUGGAAGUUCAACCAUGAGAACACACGGACACAAGGAGGGGAAUAUCACACACCGGGGCCUAUCGGGGGGUGGCAGGCUUGGGGAGGGAGAGCAUUAGGGGAAAUACCUAAUAUAGAUGACGGGUUGAUGGGAGCAGCAAACCACCAUGGCACGUGUAUACCUAUGUAACAAACCUGUAUGUUCUGCACAUGUAUUCCAAAACUUUAAAUGUAAUAAAACAAUUUAAAAAUGUGUUCAAU